rnacentral:lncRNA from 1 species
CGGCAGAGUGAAAGCAAGCGCACAUCCCUUUUAGAUGCGCGGCGCAGUUUUCUUUGAAAGACAACGCCGCGGUUUCACAGAGGUGGAGAGUUCGAUAUGUCCAACAAACAGCGUGGAGCCUGUGCGCUGCAAGACUCGUGUCGAUCUCGGUUAGUGUCUUCUCAACUUUCCGCGGACUCGCUGCACACACAGACAGGCAAGAGCCUGCGUGGGGGCGCGAGGUGUAUGCCUUGCCGCGCGUCUUCUUCGGUGUCUCCUUUUCCUCCGACCGUCAAAAAAACUGCUUUCCGCCGUUUCCCUCCCCGGUGUCUUCGACGCCUUUAGCCGGUCUACACGCUAUAGGGCGAGACUGCGCAAAGGAAAGUGCACUGACCUCUGGGCCGAGGCGGCGCAUACCGUUCUGACACGACCUCGAUUCACGAAUUUCUUCCCCGGAAACUCCCUCCUCUCCCGUCCCGUCCUCGUGUGCCUGAACAAAAACGCGUGGUCUGCACAUACACGCCCUGUGCACCUCUUGCCUCAUCUUCCUCGUGUUUCUCUUCGCCUCAUCUUCCUCGUGUUUCUCUUCGCCUCAUCUUCCUCGUGUUUCUCUUCGCCUCAUCUUCCUCGU